rnacentral:rRNA from 1 species
UACGGAGGGUGCGAGCGUUGUUCGGAAUCACUGGGCGUAAAGCGCGUGUAGGCGGCCCACUAAGUCUGAUGUGAAAGCCCGGGGCUCACCCCCGGAAGUGCAUUGGAAACUGGUGGACUCGAGUCCCGGAGAGGAGAGUGGAAUUCCUGGUGUAGCGGUGAAAUGCGUAGAUAUCAGGAGGAACACCGGUGGCGAAGGCGGCAUCCUGGACCGACAUUGACGCUGAGGAGCGAAAGCUAGGGGAGCAAACGGG